rnacentral:misc_RNA from 1 species
AACGCACAUUGCGCCCUUUGGUAUUCCGAAGAGCAUGCCUGUUUGAGUGUUAUACAAAUCUCAUUGUAGCCUUUUUUUAAUCAAAAGGGUUAUGAUGGCUUGGGUGCUGCCAUCCGUGGCUCACCUUAAAUGCAUUAGUGAAUGACAGCGUGAUAAGUCUUUGCUGUCCCCUUCACUCUAAUCAAUUUUUUCUUUGCUUUUAACCUCAAAUCAGGUAGGACUACCCGCUGAACUUAA